UACGUAGGGUGCGAGCGUUUAAUCGGAAUUACUGGGCGUAAAGUGUGCGCAGGCGGCCGCGCAAGUCGAGUGUGAAAUCCCCGAGCUUAACUUGGGAAUUGCGCUCGAAACUACGUGGCUGGAGUGUGGCAGAGGAAGGUGGAAUUCCACGUGUAGCGGUGAAAUGCGUAGAUAUGUGGAGGAACACCGAUGGCGAAGGCAGCCUUCUGGGCCAACACUGACGCUCAUGCACGAAAAGCGUGGGGAGCGAA
rnacentral:rRNA from 1 species